rnacentral:rRNA from 1 species
CACGUAGGGGGCGAGCGUUGUCCGGAUUUAUUGGGCGUAAAGAGCUCGUAGGCGGCUCAGUAAGUCGGGUGUGAAAACUCCAGGCUCAACCUGGAGACGCCACCUGAUACUGCUGUGGCUAGAGUCCGGUAGGGGAGCAUGGAAUUCCUGGUGUAGCGGUGAAAUGCGCAGAUAUCAGGAGGAACACCGGUGGCGAAGGCGGGUCUCUGGACAGUUCCGUGACACUGAGACACGAAGGCCAGGGGAGCAAACGGG